rnacentral:rRNA from 1 species
AUUGAACGCUGGCGGCAUGCUUUACACAUGCAAGUCGAACGGUAACAGGUUAAGCUGACGAGUGGCGAACGGGUGAGUAAUGCAUCGGAACGUGCCCGAUCGUGGGGGAUAACGCAGCGAAAGCUGCGCUAAUACCGCAUACGAUCUGAGGAUGAAAGCGGGGGACCGUAAGGCCUCGCGCGAUCGGAGCGGCCGAUGUCAGAUUAGGUAGUUGGUGGGGUAAAGGCCCACCAAGCCGACGAUCUGUAGCUGGUCUGAGAGGACGACCAGCCACACUGGGACUAAGACACGGCCCAGACUCCUACGGGAGGAAGCAGGGGGAAAUUUUGGACAAUGGGCGAAAGCCUGAUCCAGCAAUGCCGCGUGCAGGAAGAAGGCCUUCGUGUUGUAAGCUGCUUUUGUACGGAGCGAAAAGGUCCUUUCUAAUACAGGGGGCUCAUGACGGUACCGUAAGAAUAAGCACCGGCUAACUACGUGCCAGCAGCCGCAGUAA